UGGCUGAAGAAUGAGACAAGUUCCAUGAAAACUGAUGUCAUUCCUUCAACAUCUUCCAAGCUAGGCCUAUCUAAUUUUAAAUUAUUGGAUGCAUUUUAACAGUUCAGAUUUCCAAUGAGAAAACAAGACACAUAAGAAUAUCUCUUCCAAAAGACGAAAACUAGCAAAAAUAAGCUAAGCAAACUAAAGUGAAAGUGCUAGUCGCUAAGCCGUGUCCUACUCUUUGCAACCUCAUGGACUGUAGACUUCCAGGCUCCUCUGUUCAUAGAAUUCUCCAGGCUUUUACAAGCAUUACAAACUUUCAACACUGUUCACAUUUUUAAAGGCAUGCAAUUUUGUAUCAGAAGAGUAGAC
ensembl:lncRNA